ACUAUUUUGGCAGAAAAUUGUAAUGGUUUUAGAAGUCAUUUAUAUAUAAUUUAUUAUAUAGAUAGUA
rnacentral:tRNA from 1 species